rnacentral:rRNA from 1 species
GACGAACGCUGGCGGCGUGCUUAACACAUGCAAGUCGAGCGGUAAGGCCUUUCGGGGUACACGAGCGGCGAACGGGUGAGUAACACGUGGGUGAUCUGCCCUGCACUUCGGGAUAAGCCUGGGAAACUGGGUCUAAUACCGGAUAUGACCUCCUAUCGCAUGGUGGGUGGUGGAAAGAUUUAUCGGUGCAGGAUGGGCCCGCGGCCUAUCAGCUUGUUGGUGGGGUAAUGGCCUACCAAGGCGACGACGGGUAGCCGACAUGAGAGGGUGACCGGCCACACUGGGACUGAGACACGGCCCAGACUCCUACGGGAGGCAGCAGUGGGGAAUAUUGCACAAUGGGCGAAAGCCUGAUGCAGCGACGCCGCGUGAGGGAUGACGGCCUUCGGGUUGUAAACCUCUUUCAGCAGGGACGAAGCGCAAGUGACGGUACCUGCAGAAGAAGCACCGGCUAACUACGUG